rnacentral:rRNA from 1 species
AGUGAACGCUGGCGGUAGGCCUAACACAUGCAAGUCGAACGGCAGCACAGUAAGAGCUUGCUCUUACGGGUGGCGAGUGGCGGACGGGUGAGGAAUACAUCGGAAUCUACUUUUUCGUGGGGGAUAACGUAGGGAAACUUACGCUAAUACCGCAUACGACCUACGGGUGAAAGCAGGGGAUCUUCGGACCUUGCGCGAUUGAAUGAGCCGAUGUCGGAUUAGCUAGUUGGCGGGGUAAAGGCCCACCAAGGCGACAAUCCGUAGCUGGUCUGAGAGGAUGAUCAGCCACACUGGAACUGAGACACGGUCCAGACUCCUACGGGAGGCAGCAGUGGGGAAUAUUGGACAAAGGGCGCAAGCCUGAUCCAGCCAUACCGCGUGGGUGAAGAAGGCCUUCGGGUUGUAAAGCCCUUUUGUUGGGAAAGAAAAGCAGCAGGUUAAUACCCCGCUGUUCUGACGGUACCCAAAGAAUAAGCACCGGCUAACUUCGUG